rnacentral:rRNA from 1 species
AUUGAACGCUGGCGGCAGGCCUAACACAUGCAAGUCGAACGGUAACAGGAAACAGCUUGCUGUUUCGCUGACGAGUGGCGGACGGGUGAGUAAUGUCUGGGAAACUGCCUGAUGGAGGGGGAUAACUACUGGAAACGGUAGCGAAUACCGCAUAACGUCUCAAGACCAAAGAGGGGGACCUUCGGGCCUCUUGCCAGCGGAUGUGCCCAGAUGGGAUUAGCUAGUAGGUGGGGUAACGGCUCACCUAGGCGACGAUCCCUAGCUGGUCUGAGAGGAUGACCAGCCACACUGGAACUGAGACACGGUCCAGACUCCUACGGGAGGCAGCAGUGGGGAAUAUUGCACAAUGGGCGCAAGCCUGAUGCAGCCAUGCCGCGUGUAUGAAGAAGGCCUUCGGGUUGUAAAGUACUUUCAGCGGGGAGGAAGGGAGUAAAGUUAAUACCUUUGCUCAUUGACGUUACCCGCAGAAGAAGCACCGGCUAACUCCGUGCCAGCCGCCGCCGUAA